AGGAAAAUGCUCAGGAGCUCGAAUCAGACCUCCAUUUCAUCCAAUUCCAAGUAUAUUGAAAGAUACAUUGAUUUGAAAUUUGAGGUUCAUGAUCUGAGUUGCUUCAAUUUGACCUAAAGCAACUCAGUCUUGUUUCCUACAUUGGUAGGACUUCAGACAACCAAUAAUCAAGCAAAAUAGUUGAGAAAUAAGGGAGAAUCGAAG
rnacentral:lncRNA from 1 species